UUCCGGUUGAUCCUGCCGGAGGACAUUGCUAUUGGGAUUCGAUUUAGCCAUGCUAGUCGCACGAGUUCAGACUCGUGGCGAAUAGCUCAGUAACACGUGGCCAAACUACCCUUCGGAACACAAUACCCUCGGGAAACUGAGGCUAAUAGUGUAUACCACAGUCCACCUGGAAUGAGGACUGUGCCAAACGCUCCGGCGCCGAAGGAUGUGGCUGCGGCCGAUUAGGUAGACGGUGGGGUAACGGCCCACCGUGCCAAUAAUCGGUACGGGUCAUGAGAGUGAGAACCCGGAGACGGAAUCUGAGACAAGAUUCCGGGCCCUACGGGGCGCAGCAGGCGCGAAACCUUUACACUGCACGACAGUGCGAUAAGGGAAUCCCAAGUGCGUAGGCAUAGAGCCUACGCUUUUGUCCACCGUAGGGAGGUGGACGAAUAAGGGCUGGGCAAGACCGGUGCCAGCCGCCGCGGUAAUACCGGCAGCCCGAGUGAUGGCCGAUCUUAUUGGGCCUAAAGCGUCCGUAGCUGGCCGCGCAAGUCUAUCGGAAAAUCCACCCGCUCAACGGGUGGGCGUCCGGUAGAAACUGUGUGGCUUGGGACCGGAAGGCGCGACGGGUACGUCCGGGGUAGGAGUGAAAUCCUGUAAUCCUGGACGGACCGCCGAUGGCGAAAGCACGUCGCGAAGACGGAUCCGACAGUGAGGGACGAAAGCUAGGGUCUCGAACCGGAUUAGAUACCCGGGUAGUCCUAGCCGUAAACAAUGCCUGUUAGGUGUGGCUCCCACUACGAGUGGGUGCUGUGCCGUAGGGAAGCCGCUAAACAGACCGCCUGGGAAGUACGUCCGCAAGGAUGAAACUUAAAGGAAUUGGCGGGGGAGCACUACAACCGGAGGAGCCUGCGGUUUAAUUGGAUUCAACGCCGGG
rnacentral:rRNA from 1 species